UACGGGGGGGGCAAGCGUUGUUCGGAAUUACUGGGCGUAAAGGGCUCGUAGGCGGCCAACUAAGUCGGAUGUGAAAUCCCCAGGCUUAACCUGGGAACUGCAUCCGAUACUGGAUGGCUUGAAUUCGGGAGAGGGAUGCAGAAUUCCAGGUGUAGCGGUGAAAUGCGUAGAUAUCAUCUGGAACGCCAAUGGUGAAAACAGCUCGCUGGGGGUUUGCAGACGCUGAGACACGAAAGCUAGGGGAGCGAACGGG
rnacentral:rRNA from 1 species